GAUUUCUGAUAUGAUGUAUUUGUCCCGCCACGGUUAACGUGUGUGAGUGACGAUAUAUGUCUAUCAUCCUUCUAGAGAAUAUAUUAGUUAGCCUUUAUUGGUUUGAUUAGUAUACUUAUCUAGAUCUUUUACUUUGAAAAAAUUAGAGUGUUUCAAGCAGGCGUUUUGCUAUGAAUACAUUAGCAUGGAAUAAUAAGUUAGGACUUCGGUUCUAUUUUGUUGGUUUCUAGAGCUGAAGUAAUGAUUGAUAGGGAUAGUUGGGGGUGCUAGUAUUCAGCGGCCAGAGGUGAAAUUCUUGGAUUCGCUGAAGACUAACUUAUGCGAAAGCAUU
rnacentral:rRNA from 2 species